GGUGAACCUGCGGAAGGAUCAUUACCGAUGUGAAAAAAUCCAAGGCUAAACAUCAUUAACCAGUGUGAACUGUACAACAACUCUUUAGGGGUCGGCACAGGCGUGUGUCGUUAAAUGGCGGAUAGGUUCCUUCCGCCAGCCCCGCCAUUGUGUUUAUGAUAUCACUUUGAACGUUUAAGACUGAGAACGUAUGUAUCGUGCAUGAAAUGUAUGAGAAAGAAGGAAAGAAAAAUGGGAGACAACUUUUGACGGUGGAUCUCUUGGCUCACGUAUCGAUGAAGAACGCAGCCAGCUGCGAUAUGUAGUGUGAAUUGCAGAAUUCAGUGAAUCAUUGAAUCUUUGAACGCAAAUGGCGCUCUUGGGUUCUCCCAGGAGCAUGUCUGUCUGAGUGUCGGAUUUUAUCGAACGCACUCGUGAGUGCGGUAUUGAGGUGUCACGGCGUGUUAGCAUUAAAUCGCCGUGUCCCUUGAAGGACAGCAGCAUUGGACUCGCAUUCUCUAUUGAAACUUGAGUGCGAAGGCUAAAGAUAAUAUUUUCCUUCGCCCAAACAUGCAAUAGCAGAAACAAAAUCCAAUCAAAGCGGUGACAGACAAUGACAACAUCAAAUCUUGACCUCAGAUCAGGCAAGGCUACCCGCUGA
rnacentral:sRNA from 1 species